rnacentral:lncRNA from 1 species
AUGAUGGAAGUAAUGUUUCAGUACUUGCUUUGUGUAAUUCUCGUUGAAUUACUGGAAAUUGAAGAUUGUGGAAGAUCUAGUUGUGAUUUUGGAAGAUAUGGAAGUCUAAAAUCCUAGUUUCUCAUCAGUAUUUGUUCAAGAUCAUAUCAGAAAUUGUUGAAGAUCAUACAGCUAUUUUGCUGGGUUUUAUCUCUGUUACUAGUGUGAAGUUGCUACACAUUGCAUAAGCUGGAAAUUGUUGGAUUU